CAUAAAGAUGAUCUAUACGCUUUUUAUAGCUAUUAAAAAAACAAUUUUUCUUCCUAUAAAUAAGUUUAUGUAUUUCCAUUCUUUUCCAACAAUCCACAAGCGACUAAAAGUACUACUUAAAAGUACUCCUAGCAACAAAUUAAAAGCUGCAUAUAUUUCAUUCUUCAAUGCUCUAAUUUAACCCAAUUAAUUUCUUUCAUUUAAUUAAUUUCUUUUUAUUUUUUUUCUUUCUUUUAUUAAAAAAACAAUGGUGAAUGAAAGCUGACAGAAGAUAGAGAGCACUGAGGAUGAUAUGCAUGUUAUAUUUCCUGCAUCUCACUCCUUGGUGCUCUCUAUCUUCUGUCACCAAUUUUUACCCUUCUUUUUUUUUCCUAUUUUUCAACAAUUAUUUUUUUUUCAAAAUCUUCCAUUAAUUUAUCCAAUAACAAUUUUUUCUUUUUUCCAAGAAUAAUUAAAUAUAACAAAUUCUUUUAUUUCUUAUUAAUUCAUUAUACACCCAACUCUCAAUGAACUUAAUAUAUAUAAAUCAAAUUAAACUAUUAGGGUUGUAUUAUGAAAAUGAACGACAAUUGAAUAAUUCUCAAACGGGUAAGAGGGUAUCUAGAAGAGAUGGGUUGAGAGGCCAAUUUGUGAAAUUAUGAUGGACUUCUGGAAGGAUGAAAGACGACAACUCAUAGAAUGAUGCGUCUAUAAAGAGUUCAUAGGCCAAAGAGUUCCUUUUCUCACGUACUUAUGUUAAUUUGUUUUCAUACUCAAAGGCGAAUCAGGAGGCCAAUAUAAGGAUUCAAUAUUAAACCUUUUGUCUCGAGGAUAAAAAGAAAAACCCUCAACCACUAAUCAUAAGGGUGAGAACAAAUUCCUCUCUACUAUACUACUCCUUCUAUUUUCUAAUGUUCUUCUCGUUUAGAAUAUUCUAUUUUAGAAAGAGAAAUUUAAUUAAGAUUUUUAAGACAUAUAUAGAUGAUAAAAUAUAUCCAUUUAAGAUCUUGUUAGAUUCUUCUUAAUGAAUACUUUUUUAUAAUUUUUUAUAAUCCGUAUUUAGAGAUAUUGAGACUCAAAAGUGUAGAGAGUUUAGAGAAGUGUUUAAAAUGAUUGUUCAUAUUAAUCAUAACAUUAUAUUUAUUUAUACUAGAAAAGAAAUAUUUAAAAUAUUACAUAGAAUAAUAUAAAUACUAAAAAUAAAGAUUACAUGUAAUAUUAUCUAUAAAUAGCUACAAGAUAAAGUAAUUAUAUUCCCAAGAUAAUCAUCAUAUCAAUAGAGUUAUGCAAUUAUAUUCUCUAUUAUUCCCUCUCAAGAUGAACGUCCGAAAGGGAAAGAACAAUCUUGAAGAGUAAGCGAUAAUGAGUAGGAACAUAGUUAGAGGAGAGUUUGCCAUGACAUGUUUUAUGGAGGUUGUUGGUGGAAGAGCACUUGGAUUUGGAAGUUUUAAUGAUGGUGAUAUAAAAAAAUAAGUUUCACAAUGAGGAAUGUGUUGAUAUCAUGUGGUUAUGAAGAAAGGUCAUUGGAGUGAUGCAUUAAAAUCACUAGAAUUUCUUCAUCACGAAAGAAAGUAAAGGGUUUUGUUGUUGCUCGGUUUCUUUACACUCAUUCAACUCAAAAGUUGAGGGUUUGAGUAUAAUAGAGUUUUAAACCAAUGAAAAAGAGAGAUAAAUAUGAGUUUUAUGAAAUAAAAUAUGGUUUUAGGCUUGGUUUAAAAUCAUAAUUUAUACUAACUCCAUCAAAAAGGGACAUUGAAAUGUUGAACUAUCAAUUUAGGUAAUGAAAAAAUUACUGUAUGGACACCACCAUUUGUCAAUGUUGACAACAGUUUUAAUGAUGUAGCCAUGGAGUUUAGCAAAAGCCAAAAAAAAAUAAUGGUUGGUUUGGAAGUGAGAUUAACACUACCACCAUCAAUGGGUGAGAUAAGGAUUUGAACAGGUUUUUUUUUUGUGUUUUUGUGUUUUUGCAGUGGAAAUGGUUAAGUUGGGAGUGUUAAACCAUUAUUAAAAAGAUCAAAGCUCCGAUAUCAUGUAGAGAGUUUAUGAGAGUUUAGAGAAGUGCUUAAAAUGAUUGUUGAUAUUAAUCAUAACAUUACAUUUAUUUAUACUAGUAAAGAAAUAUUUAAAAUAUUACAUAGAAUAAUAUAAAUAGUAAAAAUAAAGAUUACCUGUAAUAUUAUCUAUAAAUAGCUACAAAAUAAAAUAAUUAUAUUCCUAAGAUAAUCAUCACAUCAAUAGAGUUAUGCAAUUAUAUUCUCUAUUAAAAAGUUGCUUUGAAAACUAUGCAAAAAAUAAAUAAAAAGAAAAAAAAAGUAUAAUAUUAUCGCUAAUAUAUCAAUUAUUAGUUCGACUCUCAUGAAAAUGCACAAAAUAAAACUCUUCAUUAUUUAUUCGGAAAAGUUGACAUUUAUAAUAACUAAUUGAUUGGUAGCAGAUCAUGUAGCCCUAAUUUGACCUGCCCAACGGAUUUUUUUCCUGAAUUUUUUAAAACAUUUAAACACAAAGUCGUUAGUUCAAUUAAAAAUUCACUGCUAGAAAAAUGGUGCCAAAAUAUAAUUCACUAACAUAAUUGGUCCAUUUAUUUGCUUUUUGAAUCUAUUAUUCGCUCAUCAUUUAAUUUAAAAAUAAUUUAAAUUUGACACUUUUAUAAAUAAACUAGUUAUCAAAACAUGUUUAUGGAUACAUUAGUGUGUGACGUAUUUUCAUUUUGACUUAUUUAAUUAACAGAGUUAGUUUUGCAUAGACUUAGUAUACACGCAUAGACUUAGUAUACACUAAAAAUAGUGUAUACCAACCUUAAAUUUAAGGAAUGUGAGUUAGAUAAUGUAAUUAAGUAAACUGAGGAUCAAAGUGAAAAAUAUGAACUUAUGAAUGAAAGAUUAAGAAAGGAUACACACUAAAUACAUUAUAGUCUUAGUCUAUUUUAGUCUUACACUAAUAAAUGAGGUUAUAUUCUUUAUCAAAUUAACUUGUUCUCGUUUGUUUAUGAUGUUAUAUUCUUUAUCAAAUUAUGUGUAAUUUAGUCGUUUUUUCUUUCAUUCUUUUUUUAAUUAUAUUGUGUGUUGUCUUUUAUAUUUCAUAUAAUUACCUUCUCACUAACAAUAUUUAUUAUAUUCUAUAUUAAAAAUAGAGUCUGAAUCUACAUCUAACUUGAACGUUGUCCAAAUUUCAACUCAUGCGCCUGUUAGUUAUUUAAGAGCAAUUUCGCAGGAACUCAUCCAUACUUUUGUUUGACAAUCAGGAACCAAAAGUAUUAUACUCCCUCUGAACCAUUUUAAUUGUCCCAUUUGUUUGGGCACGGUUAUUAAGAGUGGUGUGGGGUCUAUUAAAAAGGUGGUAGUUGGGUAUUUUUAAGUGAUUGGAUUAAUUGUUAAUGAUCUCCUCCUUUUGCUUAAUAAAGUAGAUAGAAUUGAAUUUUGGAGGGAAAAUUGGGUUUCACAUUUCCAAUAGAAUUAAUUGACAUUAAUACAUUUCCGAGAUUGUUAUAAUUAACAAACCAUUAAACUACUUAAUUUAAAUUACAAAAAAUUACAUCAAAUAAAUUACGAAAACCAUCCAAAAUAUAAAAUAAACUAAGUGUUCAUCAAUUCUUCCUUGAUUUCUUCAACGUUUUUUGAACGGCAACUGAAAACGAGCAACUCUCUCGCCACAUGCGCAUGCGGAUAUUAAAUCUUUCGUUGGCUUCAGAUUUAAAAAAAAACACGAUAUGCAUUUAGUGUUCAAAAUUAAUUAGAUAGCUACAAAAAAUCUGAAGGUUUUGAUUUUGAAAAGAAGCCAUCAAUGAAACUGGAAUCCAUACAAACCCAGCAAUCAUCAAUAGACGGAGGAGCCAAGUAACAUUGCAGGAAGUACAUCAGUAAGAUCCAGAGAGUUGACACCCAAUUUUUUAGAAUGGCGCCAAAUUAAAAAAAAAAUUGUGCCUAUACAACACCUCAAAACACCAAGAUCAUUGCAUCUAUAUAAUAAAAGCAUUAAAUAAAGAAGUCAGAAACUCAAAUUCCACCAACCCACAUUGAAACACAUUCAUGGUUAAAAAAAAGAGCUAGAUCAUUUUAGUAGGAGUCAAAUAAUGCAUGAGUUUUUAUUGUCACUAAACAGUAAAGGGAAGCCAGCACACGGGGUCAUCAAUGAAAUUGCCAAGAAGAACGAUGUGCAUAGGAGGACAGUAGGAAGGAUAUGGAAACAGAUUCGGGAUCAAAAAAGACUAAUCAAGUACCAAUAACUGUCAACAACAAGAAGCAAGGCAGCAAAGGAAGGCUGUCCAUCCCCUUUGAUGAAAAAAAGUUCAAGUCAAUUGAAAAAGCGAAGAAGACAAGUUUAGCAGCAUUGUCAAAGGCCAUGGGAGUUAGCCAAACCACAAUUUGCAUAUGGAAAAGAAAAAAGUACUUUUGAAAGCACACAAACACAAUCAAACCGUUACUUACAGACAAAAAUAAACUCGACAGGUUAAUUUCUUGUCUUACUAGUUGCAUUUUAGAUGAGCAAACAAGCAACUUUACAUUUAAUGACAUGUCAAAUGUAGUGCACAUAGAUGAAAAGUUGUUUUACAUUACAAGGACACAACAAACAUUUUAUCUGACUCCAGAUGAAAUAGAGCCACAUAGAGACUCCAGAUGAAAUAGAGCCACAUAGAGAAAUCCAAUCUAAAAGAUUUGUGCCCAAGAUCAUGUUUAUGUGUGUCGUUGCAAGACCAAUCUUUUCUAGCGAAGGUGAGAUGAUUUUUGAUGGAAAGAUAGGCAUAUUUCGUUUUACACAUGAUGUGGCAGCACAAAGAAGUUCAAAACACAGGAAGAGAGGAGAGCCAGAGACUAAACUAAUACAAUCAAUCACUAAAGUACACACAAGAGAUAUGAUUGCGCACAAGAUACUCCUAGUAAUUAGAAGUAUAUGGCCAGCACAUUUAAGCAAAACGAUAUUCAUUCAACAGGACAAUGCUAAGCCACACAUUUUAGAUGAUGAUGUAGUGUUUAGAGAGGUGGCAACACUUGAUGGAUUUAGCUUCCACUAAGUGCAACAACCUCCUAACUCACCAGAUAUGAAUGUGCUUGACUUAGGGUUCUUUAGGUCAACACAAUCGUUACAACAUCAAAAAUCAGCAUACAACUAUGCACAGUUAGUAAACGCAGUGAGUGCAGCAUUUGCAAUCUACAUCCAAAUGCAUUGAAGUAUGUAUGGAUCACACUACAAGCAUGUAAAGUUGAGGUUAUUAAGAACCUAGGUUUUAUAGAUUAUGACAUUCCACACAUGAACAAAUCAAAACUUGCAACGGAAGGGAGAUUCCCACAUUGUAUGGGGGUACAAAAGGAAAUUAUUUACGAGGCAAUACAUUAUCUGGACACAAAGGUGGAUGAAACUACAUUUGAAGUCAUUUUAUUUUACUUAGGGAUCAAAGACGAACCAUUUUUCCAUCAACAUCAUUUACCAACAGCAUCCACAGAAACAACAGCAACACCACACACAACAACAACCACAGAGCCAACAACAACACCACAAAUAAUAUUAUCAGCAAAAGCAAGAGAUGCAACAGAUAUUCCAGCAACAAAUGAAGCAACAACACCAACAAAAGAAACAACAGCACCAACACCAAAUCCAUCUACGUCAACAGAAGCAGCACCACCAUGAACACCAAUAACAUGUAAAUAGGACACACAUGAGUAUACUUUUGGGUUACCUUUUGUACUCACUUUUGGAUUACAUUGUUAGGUAAAUGUUUAGGUCUAAACACGAUGUAGAAAUUAAAUCAUGAAGUUGUUUAACCGUAAACAUUUAGAAGGAAAUGUCAGAUUCAACAAUUUAUUGAUGGCUUCAAAAACAAAAUUAAAACAAAUUCGUCUCAGAGAACAAAUUGCACUCAUCACAGAUAACCCAAAUCCCAUACUAAUUGCCUCCUAUAUCUGGUAAGAACAUAGCCUCCUAAACAUAAUGUUUGGUGGCUUAUGAACUGAAAACCCUAGAUUGGUGGCAAAAUAACUGUUUACCCUAAAAAAAAUCAUAGGGCAACAAAAACAGAACACGAACAUAGACAUGCAUACCAUACAAACCACUUAAACAAAAUCAUCAUUAGUCAUAGAGGAAAGAUAUAUUCAUACGAGAAAAUGGGCCUCGAACAUCAAAAUCAGACACCAAAUCAUCAUCAUCCAAUGAUUCUUCAUCUGAGGAGGGAAACAAGUUCUCAAUGUAUAGAUCUUGAAGAUCCAGUUGUAAAUCAAAUAUACCCUGCAUUUCUUCAUCUUCACAAGUUACACUUCUUCCCCAGUUAGGAUCCGUUUCAACAGAAGUCAUAGGAGAUGGAGGUAGGCGAUUGUAGAAGUCGAACCAUGGGUUAGGAGGUCCAACCGUAGGAUCACUUUCUUGGGACGUAGACAACCAAGAAAGACAAGACCUUGGUGACGCCAUGUUUGAAAAACCCAAAAAAGUAAAGAACAAACCCAUAUCUUAAAAACCCCUAAAAUUAUUAGGGUUUCAAAAGAAGACGAAGAUGGUGGAAAAAAAUAAAGAUGAAGAUGAUAAAAGUUAAACAGUAAGAAUUGGGAUGAAGAUGAAGAUCAUUGAAGAAGAUGAAGAAAAAAUCAAACGUUGAAGAUGAAGAAAAAAUCAAACUUUGAAGAUGAAGAUGAGAGAGGGAGAGAUAGGGUUUCAGUUAUAGAUAUUAAAAAGGGAGGGAAUGAUUAAGAUUAUUAGUGUUGGGUUAUUUAGUUAAUUAGUUUGGGUAAGUAGGGUGUAUAGGGGUAUAUUCGUAAUUACGUGUGUGAACUAAGGGUAUUUAGGUAAAAGAAGAUUGACAAAAAUAAAAAUGUAACAAUUGAUAUAAUUUUGCCAAAUAAAAAAUGUGACAACUAAAUUGAUUCGAAGGGAAUAUCUAUCUCGAGUACAUAAAGAUCAACAAAGUACAAUAAGACAAACAAAAAUGAAUCAAGUGCAACAAUGGGCGGUGAUUGUCAGGCCAAUGCUCCAUAAUUAUAGGCUUUAAUUCAGAUCAUAUUUGAUACAAAUGGGUAAACUCGAGGAGACCAAUCAUGCAAUCCAAAUUGAUUUAACCCAUUUUAAAAUAAAUUUUAAAUUAUAUAAAAAUAAAUGUGAAUAUAAAAUUUAAUUUUCAGCUGAUUCGAAACACUUAACCCGAAAGCGAUUCGGGUAUUUAUGUGAGUUUUAGCUAUUUAUAUUUUGAGACGGAUUGAUUUUAGUUCUUGAAUACUUCCUCCGUUUCAUAUUUAUUGCAAUAUUAGAAAAAAUGACACUAUCUAUUCAUCACUUUUAAUUUGUGAUUAGUUUUUAAUCUAUAAGUUAAAACAUAGUCAAGUGAGAUCUUGUUUGAUUCAUCUCAUUGCAAAGAUUAUUAAUAUUAAAAUUUUAUAAUUUUUUAUUAUACACACUUAGAGAUAUUAAGAAUUAAAUUAGUGCAUUGAAAUGCAUGAAAAAAAAAAUAUUGCAAGUAAAUCAAAAGGGAAGAAGUAUAUAAAAAUCUUGAAAAUUCAAUCUUAAUUUAUAUACAUAAAUUAUAUCGGAUGAGAUCAUACUUGAUUUUGACCAAUCCGAUCAAUUUUAGACAAGUAUACAAAUUUGAUACUCCCAUGCAAUUUGUAUAUUGAUACAAACAGAAAUAGUGCAAAUUUCACAUGCAUGUACACUUAUCAUGUGAUGUGCAAUGAAAGCUUUCUAUUUUUGGUCUAAAUUUUCCAAAUGUAUUGAAAUUGUAAACUUUCUAUAAAUAGAAAAUGAUGUUUCUAAAGUUCGUGCAUGUACCAUAGUCCAUAGUUUAUAUACAGCCUACAAAGUACAACUUGGUGGUCUACUAAAUAGAGUAGGUGAUUCAUGAUUGGAUCACAAUUUAUUUCAUCUAUGUUGGAUUCAUUUUUUAAUGAACUAUACGUACUCGAUCAAGUACGUUUUCUAAACUUCAUUACAAAUAGAUUUUGAUAGAAGUAGUAUUAAUUAGUAGCCAAGCACAAAUUAAAAAGACAUCUUGUUCUAUUUUUAUUUAUUAUUUUUAUUUAUUGUAUUUGUAGUUUUUUACUCCAAAUACAUAAUGUAUGACACAUUUAUAUGUUUUAUGAAUGCAAUUUAUUUACGUUGUAUUGAUCUUUAGCUCUUAUAUCAUUUAACACAUAAUGAAAUACAUUAGUCUAAAAUGCUUGAUAAAUUAACUAUGAAUCACCUUAAAUCUUUGUGUCAUUGCUUGCAUUAGUUUUACGCGAUUAAAUGAUCAAGUUAAAAUUUGCAAAUCAGUCAAGUUUAUUAGUGUAUUUUUAAACCUUAAUUCAACCUUUUUUAAGACUUUUAGAUACCGUUUCAACCCUUUAAACCCCUACCUCAAAAUUUUUGUGGAAUAAAUUAAAGCCAGCAUAAAGUUAUGUGAUACUUUAUUUAGUUUAUAUUAUUGUAUAUAUGUUUUAAUGUUUCCAAUGCAUGUUAGCAAGUUUUAGCUACUUUAUGUGUGAUAUUCUGAAUUUAUAAAUAGGAGAAAAAAAUUUAAAAGUAAUUCUAAAAGAAAAUUAUUCCACGUGAUAAUGUAUAUUUAAGCAAUAAUUAUUGCACCUAAGUUUAAAUUACAAUAUUAAUCUGAAAUGACCCUCGCAAACUUUACAACUUCCUCAAUUAUUGCAGAUUAAUGUUACAAUACAAUUUAAAGCUUUUCCAUAUUUCUCUGAAUUAUCAAAGUAAUAACAACUUUUCUUUUUUCUCCCUUUGGCAUUGCUUUGUAUUUGUUCUUUGGCAUUCCAAGUCUUAAAAGACUUUCAUUUUUUUAGCGUAUUAUGAAGUACAACUUUUUCUUUUUCUAUCAUCAAUUUGAUGAGCUUUUCAAUUUUGAAAGGACACACAUCAUUUUAUUUACUCAAUUAAUGACCUAGCUACAGCUAAUGAUAUCGGAUUUCUGAAAAUAAAGGGUCAAGUGGUCUAUAUGUAGAAAAAAAAAUGAAAAUGAUCAACAAAAGAGUUCAACUCAUCUAAUGUUGAUGGAUGAAACAGUAAUUAACUAUCACCUUUUGUAAAAUACUAACUUUAAACAUAUUGUUUGCAGUCAAGUACUAUCAAAGCUUCUAUACUUAGAGAUAUAUAGCUAUAGUGUUCAUUCUUCAAAGCUUUCAUUGGGAAUAAUUUAUACACUAGCUUGGACAUUUUAAAUUUUAUGAAAACAACGGAAAUUACAAAGCAACAUUCCACAAACUAAAUUCAACAUUUCAUAAUUCAACCACAAGGUCCAUUAAAAUACUUUACAUAGUUACAUUACAUUCAAAAUUUUAAAAAAUUUUGUUAACAAAUUGCAAUUAUUAACAUUAAACUUUCAUUGCAUAUAAUUUUUUUCAAGGUAAGAAAUUAUAUAUCAUGUGCAUAGCACGGGUAAAUACCUAGUAUGAAUUAUAAUCUAUAACAAACUUUACGCGGUUAAAGCCAAUGGUUAAACACAAAAAUCAAAAUUUAAUAAAAUUUAUGGUUUGAUUUUUUAAAAAAAAUUCAAAUAUCGUUUCGGGCUCAGCUAUAACACUCUAUGAUCACAAAAAAAAGUCAAAUCUUAAUUUUGGAUCGCAAACCUAAUCAAAUCUUUACGAUUGAGAUCAAAAUUUAUUCACCCCUAUACUUUAACAUAUAAUUUAAUAUCAAUAUAAUAUAUACUCCUAUAUUUAAUGACUAACAAUUUAAUAUUUUACCUUAAAGCCUUACACAAAAAUUCCUCUCCUAUAUAGUGUUUGUAUUGCCAUCUCCCGUCAAACCAGCAAUCCACAACCAACCAAAAACUCGAUCAAAAAAGAAGAAAACUAAAAUACAGUCUCUCUUGUUCAUCUCAGCUUAAAUCUCUCUCAUCUUUAAAAUUUUUUAUUUUAUUUCUAUUUCAUUUAAUUACUUGUUAAAUUGUUUUAAAUUUUUUUCUUUUAAAAUAGGCGGUACUGAUAGAAUAUAUAUACAACCGUUGUAAUUAAAAUUUUUUAGUUGAGUUGAUUGUAUGACAUGAUAUUAGAAACUAAUAUCACAUAGAUUAUUAGUUCGAAUCUCAUCUACCCCUUAUUAUUUCUAAUUUAUAAGACUCUUAUAUAUGAGUGAGCUAGUGUGAUAAGCCGAUAAAGUAUAUAUAAAAUAGGGAAAUUUGCAUAGUCAAAAGUCAACGUCGGAAAGUUGACAAAAGUCACCGGAAACUGAUUUAAGGUGUUUUUUUUUAAAAAAAGUCUCUUAAAAAGUGUUUUUUUACAAAAAAAAUUAUAAAAGGUGUUUCUUUAAAAAAAGUGGUUUUAAAGGAAUUGCAAUAAUUUUUUAAUUUAAGUAAUUCCCUAAGAGAGUGAUAAAUGUAAGCUGACAGAAGAUAGAGAGCACUAAGGUUGAUACACAAAAAAUAUCACUGCAUAUCACUCCUUUGUGCUCUUUAUCUUCUGUCAACACUCACCACCUUUAUCCUCUCUUUUUCUUUUGUUUUAUUAUUAAUAUUAAUUUUCUUAUAAUGUAAUUUUCAAGUAGGUGUUUGACUUUUAAAAAAAAUAUUAUCUACAAAAAAAGUUUUAUUUACUUUUAUGUAGUAAACUUAUUAUGAAGUUAAAAGGAAGAAACUGUUAGCGAGUGUUUAGUAUGAACUUUUUAAUAUGAAGUAAGGGAUUUAAUUACCAUCACUUCAUAUUUUUAUUUUUUGUUUGGUAUAAUAUUAGGUUAAUCCAACUCCUUUCUUGAGGGUAAUAGAUACCAUUAUUUUGUUACCUUUUAUUUAUGUCAAGUAACAAAUUCUCCUUCUAUAAUCAAGUAAGUCUUUCCCAUAUAUUUUCAUUCCAAACAACAUAUAACUAAACACAUACUCUUACCCUUAAUUCUCUUUAUCAUUUUCCUUUCCAUUACAUUUUAUGUUCUCAUACCAAACACCCCCUUAGAGUAUAUAACAUAUUCUGAAUCUCAACUAUUAACUUAAGUUUUUGAUUGAGUUAGUUCAUAUACUUGGUAUCAGAGCCUGCGUGACAAGAGGUUAUAGAUUCGAAUCUCAACCACCAGCGCUUGUGUUGCAUCUACAUUUCUAGCGCAUUGAGCUUUCGUGUGAAGGGGCGUGUUAGAGUAUAUAAUAUAUCCUAAGACCUCAAUCAUUAGUUUAUUAAGCUUUUGGUUGAAUUUAUUUAAU